rnacentral:rRNA from 1 species
UACGUAGGGGGCAAGCGUUGUCCGGAUUUAUUGGGUUUAAAGGGUGCGUAGGCGGACUAUUAAGUCAGUGGUGAAAGCCCCAAGCUUAACUUGGGAACUGCCAUUGAUACUGAUGGUCUUGAGUAUAUUUGAGGUGGGCGGAAUGUGUCAUGUAGCGGUGAAAUGCUUAGAUAUGACACAGAACACCGAUUGCGAAGGCAGCUCACUAAACUGUAACUGACGCUGAGGCACGAAAGCGUGGGGAGCAAACAGG